CAGCUAGUUGGUGAGGUAAUGGCUCACCAAGGCUACGAUCAGUAUCCGGUCUGAGAGGACGGUCGGACACACUGGAACUGAGACACGGUCCAGACUCCUACGGGAGGCAGCAGUGGGGAAUUUUUCGCAAUGGGGGCAACCCUGACGAAGCAACGCCGCGUGGAUGAUGAAGUAUCUCGGUACGUAAAAUCCUUUCGACAGGGAAGAAACCCGCAAGGGUUGACGGUACCUGUAGAAGAAGCCCCGGCUAACUCCGUGCCAGCAGCCGCGGUAAUACGGGGGGGGCAAGCGUUGUUCGGAAUUACUGGGCGUAAAGGGCGCGUAGGCGGUUUGUUAAGUUGGUUGUGAAAACUCUGGGCUUAACCCAGAGCCUGCAUCCAAAACUAGCAGACUAGAGUUCUGGAGGGGAUAGCGGAAUUCCUGGUGUAGCGGUGAAAUGCGUAGAUAUCAGGAGGAACACCGGUGGCGAAGGCGGCUAUCUGGACAGAGUCUGACGCUGAGGCGCGAAAGCUAGGGGAGCAAACAGGAUUAGAUACCCUGGUAG
rnacentral:rRNA from 1 species